rnacentral:rRNA from 1 species
UGAGGAAUAUUGGGCAAUGCCCGCAAGGGUGACCCAGCAACGCCGCGUGGAGGAUGAAUGUCGUAAGAUUGUAAACUCCUGUUAGAGGGGAAGAAUAGUACCGGUUGGACCGGUAUAUGACUGUACCCUCAGAGAAAGCCCCGGCUAACUACGUGCCAGCAGCCGCGGUAAGACGAAGGGGGCUAGCGUUGUUCGGAAUUACUGGGCGUAAAGCGCGUGUAGGCGGUUGCCAAAGUCGGGUGUGAAAGCCUUGAGCUCAACUCAAGAAUAGCACUCGAUACUUGGUGGCUAGAGGAACGGAGAGGAUAGUGGAAUUCCCAGUGUAGUGGUGAAAUACGUAGAGAUUGGGAAGAACACCAGUGGCGAAGGCGGCUAUCUGGACGGUUACUGACGCUAAGACGCGAAAGCGUGGGGAGCAAACA